rnacentral:tRNA from 3 species
GGAGAGAUGGCCGAGUGGUUGAAGGCGUAACAUUGGAACUGUUAUGUAGACUUUUGUUUACCGAGGGUU